AGGUGAUGCAGAAAGAGGCCCCAGGGAGCUGCCUCACUCCUUCCACCAAGUGAGCACACAGCUAGAAGGUACCAUCCAUAAAGAUGAAGAAUGCCAAGGACAUCCACCCCUCAUGGCAACAUCUGCAUGUUGACAUACAUCAGUAAUGGUCUGUGAAUCAUUUGAAUUCUGGUUGAAGGCUGACACCGUCAUAGUCUCUCUACUCAUCUCCAUGGCCAAAAUUUGCUUUUGAAAGCAUUUGCUCCAAAGUAUAAAUGACUG